rnacentral:lncRNA from 1 species
AGUAGAAGGGCUAGGUGUUUAAGAUUUUCAUUCAAAACACCUGACGCACCAAAACCCCAAUGCCCAAGAAUCGUUAACUAUAACAAUCAAAGCAUAAUUAAAUUAAACUUGGAUAAGAAGAAUAUCUAUAAUGAUAAUCUCAAUUUUUAUAAGGCAUCCAAGUGUCCAUCCUUCAAUGGUGAUCCACAUGAAAAUCGGAUCAAAGACAACGCUCCUCCUUCACCUUACUUCAAAAGUUCUAAUCCCUAGAACUCGACUAGCUACC